rnacentral:rRNA from 1 species
CCUACGGGAGGCAGCAGUGAGGAAUAUUGGUCAAUGGACGAGAGUCUGAACCAGCCAAGUAGCGUGAAGGAUGACUGCCCUAUGGGUUGUAAACUUCUUUUAUAAAGGAAUAAAACGAGGCACGUGUGCCUUUUUGCAUGUACUUUAUGAAUAAGGAUCGGCUAACUCCGUGCCAGCAGCCGCGGUAAUACGGAGGAUCCGAGCGUUAUCCGGAUUUAUUGGGUUUAAAGGGAGCGUAGAUGGGUUGUUAAGUCAGUUGUGAAAGUUUGCGGCUCAACCGUAAAAUUGCAAUUGAUACUGGCAGUCGUGAGUACAGUUGAGGUAAGCGGGAUGCGUGGUGUAGCGGUGAAAUGCUUAGAUAUCACGAAGAACCCCGAUUGCGAAGGCAGCUUACUAAACUGUGACUGACAUUGAUGCUCGAAAGUGUGGGUAUCAAACAGGAUUAGAUACCCCGGUAGUC